GUGGUGGGAAGGUAUUUUGGGGAGACUAGUUGGCUGUUGUAGCCAAGAUUUAACCGCGGGUGACCAAUAUCCCCAGUGUGCCAUUACCCAACGGCAAUGGUCGUUCCUUUACAUGAGGAAUUUUAUGCCGUAUCAUGGAUAGUAGAAUAUUCUAUUCUGUUAAUUUACCCCAUUCUGUAUUACAGAAAAUAAAUUGGGACUGGAUUAACAAUGUUUAUCCAUAUCAGAAGGUGAAGGGUAAGAGUUGUGCCCCACAGCUGGCACAUUCAAGCCCAAUGGCUGAGAGGGAACUGCCUGUGGUUUCCCAACCCAAUUCAGACUACUCUCCCUCCAC
ensembl:ribozyme RNaseP_nuc Nuclear RNase P